rnacentral:lncRNA from 1 species
GGCGGAAGGGGAGAGAAACGCGCCUGGGUGAGCCGCGGCUAAUCGAGGGGUCGGGUCAGAUUCUUUGUGCCCCGCCGCCUGCAGGGAGAGCCCCACACUGGGGUUUGAAUCCCCGAGGAGCCCGGGCGCACCACAGCAUCUUGUUGGCUGGCGCCGAGUAACUGGGCUCCUCUCCUCUGCCUGCGCAAAGCGGAGCGGUGCCACUCGGGUCCCAGGUUUUCCCCGCUGCCCAGGGCGCCGCGGUGGCCGGUAGGCUCCCCAGCGGAGUGACUGGGCCCCCGCCCCGGCGAGGCCCCACGGCCUUCCGCCCGAGGUGGGCUCAGCCCCGCGCGACUUCCCGCCGCAGCUGCGGGACACCAGCACCUAGGCCCGGGACUCUCAGGCUCCCUAAAGUAGCGAAUCGGUCUGGAAAAGAAAGAGUUAAGCCGAGAGGCUGGGUGGGUCUUCAAAUCGCUACAGCGUCAGUCCCUCAACAUUCCUUAAAGUGACACACACAGAACAGACAACUAUACAGCAGCUAAAACAAACAGGACACUUCCGCUCUGUCCUUCACUGACAUUAACACCAGGGGCACUCUGUACCCCAGAAUCUUUGGAACGACGCCUAAGCCCCCUUGGCUAGGAUGUACCAGGGUGACCACCGCAGCCGGAUUCUACAUCCUCUUUUGCUGUUUCUUGCCAGGUAAUACAGCUUUUUAGGCCUCUUCAGAACAGAAUUACAGAAUUAUUCAGAACAGGAUUAUUACAGUAUCACACAAGCACACAUGGAUAGACUCACAGACUCAGAGAUAACCAGUGCCGAGAUUCUCCAGGGUUGGGUCCUGGUGGCCUUGGAGUUCCAGGCCAAUGCACCAAAAUGUUGUGCCAGGAAGAGUUCAUGAACCCCAAAUGGCCACCAAGGAGCUGUUUCUGUUGGGUCUCUUUAUUUCAAGUUUGGAUUUGGGCUCUCCUCCAACCCAACCCUGACAAAGCAGGACCAGAAAGGAAGGCAGAGCAGCGUGCGCCACCACACCCGGCCAGA